rnacentral:rRNA from 1 species
GAUUUUCGCAAUGCCCGAAAGGGUGACAAUGCGACGCCGCGUGUGCGAUGAAGGUCUUCGGAUUGUAAAGCACUGUCAGUCGGGAGGAAUCUCUGGCGCACUAACACUGUACCAGGGUGACAGUACCGGCAGAGGAAGCUCCGGCCAACUCCGUGCCAGCAGCCGCGGUAACACGGGGGGAGCAAGAGUUGUUCGGAAUUAUUGGGCGUAAAGAGCUCGUAGGCUGUUCCGUAUGUCAGGGGUGAAAUCUGAUGGCUCAACCAUCAAUCCGCCUCUGAAACUAUGGAACUUGAGUGCAGGAGAGGAAAGUGGAAUUCCUGGUGUAGCGGUGAAAUGCGUAGAUAUCAGGAGGAACACCAGUGGCGAAGGCGGCUUUCUGGCUUGAAACUGACGCUGAGGAGCGAAAGCCAGGGGAGCGAACGGGAUUAGAUACCCCGGUAGUCCUGGCCGUAAACGAUGGGCACUAAGUAGAGGGGUUUUAAUC